AUUGAACGCUGGCGGCAGGCCUAACACAUGCAAGUCGAACGGUAACAGGAAGCAGCUUGCUGCUUUGCUGACGAGUGGCGGACGGGUGAGUAAUGUCUGGGAAACUGCCCGAUGGAGGGGGAUAACUACUGGAAACGGUAGCUAAUACCGCAUAACGUCGCAAGACCAAAGAGGAGGACCUUAGGGCCUCUUGCCAUCGGAUGUGCCCAGAUGGGAUUAGCUAGUAGGUGGGGUAACGGCUCACCUAGGCGACGAUCCCUAGCUGGUCUGAGAGGAUGACCAGCCACACUGGAACUGAGACACGGUCCAGACUCCUACGGGAGGCAGCAGUGGGGAAUAUUGCACAAUGGGCGCAAGCCUGAUGCAGCCAUGCCGCGUGUAUGAAGAAGGCCUUCGGGUUGUAAAGUACUUUCAGCGGGGAGGAAGGGAGUAAAGUUAAUACCUUUGCUCAUUGACGUUACCCGCAGAAGAAGCACCGGCUAACUCCGUG
rnacentral:rRNA from 1 species